AGGACCGGCCAACACAAGAACUGACGUCUGCUUUCUUGGCCUUAU
rnacentral:rRNA from 1 species